rnacentral:rRNA from 1 species
AUUGAACGCUGGCGGCAGGCCUAACACAUGCAAGUCGAACGAGUGGCGGACGGGUGAGGAAUGUCUGGGAAACUGCCUGAUGGAGGGGGAUAACUACUGGAAACGGUAGCUAAUACCGCAUACCAUCGGAUGUGCCCAGAGGGGAUUAGCUAGUAGGUGGGUUAAAGGCUAACCUAGGCGACGAUCCCUAGCUGGUCUGAGAGGAUGACCAGACACACGGGAACUGAGACACGGUCGAGACUCCUACGGGAGGAAGCAGUGGGGAAGAUUGCACAAUGGGCGCAAGCCUGAUGCAGCCAUGCCGCGAGUAUGAAGAAGGCCUGCGGGUUGUAAAGUACUUGCAGCGGGGAGGCGUUGCCCACAGAAGAAGCAUCGGCUAACUCCGUGCCAGCCGCCGCGGUAAUAC